rnacentral:lncRNA from 1 species
GCGUGCGAACGCACCACAUUCCGGAACGGGAAGAAGGAGCUGUCUCUCUCUUCUGAGGGGUAGGCAGGUGCUUCCGAAUCGCGGAAUGUAGGUGCUCAUAAGCUGGAGACCCACGGAAAGAACCUAGAAGCUCCGAGCGGUUGCAGACAGCACUGCAUUGAGCCAACGACUCCUGCUCUACUGAUGGUGAUUCCACAGCUUUGUGAGGAAUAAGUUAAGAUGAAUUACAGUUUCCCCUGGACUUCUUUCUCUCUCCUGCCGCCUUGUGAAGAAGGUGCCUGCCUCCCCUUCCACCACGAUUCUAAGUUUCCUGAAGUCUCCCCAGCCAUGCUGAACUAAUGUUAUCUUAUCUGGAAGAAGAGGAAUAGGAAAGAAAAGGAGUCAGGAAUGGAUCUUACUCAGAAGGCUGACUAGACACAGCCAGGUGGAAGAGCUCCCACUGCGGGACCAAGAUGACUGGAAUGCCCCUAACAGAUCUUCAGAGGGAAGAAACCAGGAGUGGACAGAGAGAAGACACAGAAGCUGGGCUGAAGGUAGUGAAAGCUGGGAAUGUGGCACAGGACUACUGCACACCAGGUUUUGUUCCUGGCCCACAAUGGCUCUGGGGGAUCAGCCGUGUAAGAUAUGCCUGCUUCCCCUUCACCUUCUGCUAUGAUUGGGAGUUUCCUGAGGCCUCCCCAGCCAUGCUUCCUGUACAGUCUGUGGAACCAUGAGCCAAUUAAACCUCUUUUCCUUAUAAAUUA